CGGCCCUGCCUGUGGCACAGCCCUCAGCUCAUGGAUAGGGCUAUGUCAGAGCAUGGAAAAAGAUUGUGAAACCUCCUGCUGAGAUAUUUGAGACCUCAGUGUUUUGCUUGCUAAUUUUGAACCCGUGAGAUGUUUCUCAUGGCCUAUUUAUAGAGCAGCUUGCUCUCAGAAGGCCCAGCGGGCCCCGCUCUGCAGAGCAGGCCUGAGAACCUCACCCGGGGACACGGGCCUGCACAGCCAUCGUGCUGUGCUUCGGCUCUGAUGGGCAGGGCCCAGCCCAAGGCACGCGGGUGGACGUCCAAGGUGAUGUUGGUGGGAUGGCAGUAGAGAUUGAACCUUCCCACCAGCAUCCCAUUACAUUUUGCUGCUGCGUAAGAGAUGGAAGGAAGCCUGACGGAAUGGCGCCUGGCGUGCAAGUGUGUGUGAAGCAAAGCCGUGUCAUUGAGUUCUCCCAUGCUGGUGAAAAUGCACAGCUAGAGUUUCCAUAAUAAAUAAUGAGGAGGCGUUACUUCUGGAGCAACCUGUCUAUUCCUCAGUCAUCGAAGGUGCUGAAAAGCAGAUAAGGCUGCACGUUUGCCUCCUCGUCAGCCACCCCACAGUACUGCUGGUUACACCGCUGGUGAAUGCUAACGUCAAACUGAUUUGCUCCCAAGAAGCCACUGCUGCGUGCUCCUGCAGGGAUGCUGCUGGCUGCCCCCCGCUCUCUGCUGUGCUUUGUGUGCUCCACGGGUGUUCUCUCCCUGAAGCAGUGG
rnacentral:lncRNA from 1 species